UUAUUGGAGAGUUUGAUCCUGGCUCAGGACGAACGCUGGCGGCGUGCCUAAUACAUGCAAGUCGAGCGCGGG
rnacentral:rRNA from 1 species